rnacentral:rRNA from 1 species
UACGGAGGAUCCAAGCGUUAUCCGGAUUUAUUGGGUUUAAAGGGUGCGUAGGUGGUUCAUUAAGUCAGGGGUGAAAGACGGCAGCUUAACUGUCGCAGUGCCUUUGAUACUGAUGAACUUGAAUGAACUAGAGGUAGGCGGAAUGUGACAAGUAGCGGUGAAAUGCAUAGAUAUGUCACAGAACACCAGUGGCGAAGGCGGCUCACUGGCCCGAUACUGACGCUGAGGCACGAAAGCGUGGGGAGCAAACAGG